rnacentral:rRNA from 1 species
GGACCCGCACAAGCGGUGGAUGAUGUGGAUUAAUUCGAUGCAACGCGAAAAACCUUACCUACCCUUGACAUGUUCAGGAUCCUGGAGAGAUUUGGGAGUGCCCGAAAGGGAGCUGGAACACAGGUGCUGCAUGGCUGUCGUCAGCUCGUGUCGUGAGAUGUUGGGUUAAGUCCCGCAACGAGCGCAACCCUUGUCGUUAAUUGCCAUCAUUAGGUUGGGCACUUUAACGAGACUGCCGGUGACAAACCGGAGGAAGGUGGGGAUGACGUCAAGUCCUCAUGGCCCUUAUGGGUAGGGCUUCACACGUCAUACAAUGGUCGGUACAGAGGGUUGCCAAGCCGCGAGGUGGAGCCAAUCCCAGAAAGCCGAUCGUAGUCCGGAUUGCAGGCUGCAACUCGCCUGCAUGAAGUCGGAAUCGCUAGUAAUCGCGGAUCAGCAUGUCGCGGUGAAUACGUUCCCGGGUCUU